UACGUAGGGUGCGAGCGUUGUCCGGAAUUAUUGGGCGUAAAGAGCUUGUAGGCGGUUUGUCGCGUCUGCUGUGAAAUUUCGGGGCUCAACCCCGAACUUGCAGUGGAUACGGGCAGACUAGAGUGCGGUAGGGGAGACUGGAAUUCCUGGUGUAGCGGUGAAAUGCGCAGAUAUCAGGAGGAACACCGGUGGCGAAGGCGGGUCUCUGGGCCGUAACUGACGCUGAGGAGCGAAAGCGUGGGGAGCAAACAGG
rnacentral:rRNA from 1 species